UUGUGCUAAGCGGGGAGCUGGCGGUGCCCUGUACCUGCAAUCCGCCAUAGCAGGGCUUAAUUCCCCAGCCGAGGCUUAGAGAUGUAACGCAGCCCUGUAUAGUGCAAUGUUGAUAGCAAGGCCUUACGCGGCGGCGCUAUCGUGAACCCCGCCAGGACCGGAAGGUAGCAACGGUAAGCGGUCAGACCGGGUGCCGUAAGUCUCCCUUGCAGGAGUUGCACUUACAGAAAGCGGUUGUAUCUCUAUUGUCGAAGCUGGGGUGCACGA
rfam:Thermodesulfobium narugense DSM 14796, complete genome.